GAUCAUGGCUCAGGAUGAACGCUAGCUACAGGCUUAACACAUGCAAGUCGAGGGGCAGCAUGGUCUUAGCUUGCUAAGGCCGAUGGCGACCGGCGCACGGGUGAGUAACACGUAUCCAACCUGCCGUCUACUCUUGGACAGCCUUCUGAAAGGAAGAUUAAUACAAGAUGGCAUCACGAGUUCACAUGCUCACAUGAUUAAAGGUAUUCCGGUAGACGAUGGGGA
rnacentral:rRNA from 1 species